rnacentral:rRNA from 1 species
CAUCUAAGCACGAAACUUGCCCCGAGAUGAGUUCUCCCUGAGACUUUAGGUCUCCUGAAGGAACGUUGAAGACGACGACGUUGAUAGGCCGGGUGUGUAAGCGCAGCGAUGCGUUGAGCUAACCGGUACUAAUGAACCGUGAGGCUUAACCUUAC